AUCACUAUUUAUCCCGAAAAAAUUCAAAAGGCUACGUUUGGGCUCUAUAUUGAUUUUAAUGGCCCAGAUGAAAAGGUCCAGAUUAUUUCUCUUACUCUCAAUCUGCACCCCAGAAAAAAAAAACUUACACGAUGAUUCCACUUCGUCUUCUCCGAUUAGUCUCCAUCCAAUGUCAAUUACUAAACCUCAUAUGCAUCAAUCAAUUGUGCUCUUCAAUACCCUCUUAAUGGAUUCGAUUCGCCUCCUCUUUCUCCUUCUUGAUAAACCAGUUCGUGAAAACAUGCAUUCAUUGAAUCCUGAAAAUCUUCUCCCAAGAAGUUGAAACUAUGGCGAUGAAACCACACAGCAAGUCCUCUAUAUCCUCCGCCAAGUCUCACGUAGGUAUGCUCUUCAAAGAUAUCUCACCAGGUCCACACGAAUCUGAGUUACGAUUUCGGAGGCUAGAAACUAUGCAAAAGAAGGACCCGUAUUUGUAUCUCUAACAGUUAUUCGUCUUCUCAGAGGUUGAGAAAAAAAGCGUCUGGUUACUGACACAAACAAGUUCAUGUUCCAUAUAUUCGAAAACCUCUAUGGCAAUUUCGCCACCGAAUGAUGUAAAUGUUGUUGGCCACAUGAAGCUAAUCAAUGAGACAAUCUCUCAUUAACAGCCCGGUACUUGAUCAAGUUGAUAGUUUCCACUCGGGGAGUAUUGGUUAAUCUACAGCCACAGAGGGACUUCUUAUGAAUGUAUACGUAUGGGGACCAGGCUGCCAACGAGUUGUACAUGAAAUUCAAUGAAGCCGCUGAAAUACUAUGAGACAAAUUUCUGGAUUAUGAUGAAUAGUGUGAUUCACCAAGGUUUAUUUGCAAGACCUGUCCUACAUAAUCAUCAUGGCUUUCAGUUUUAUUCACCAAGGUUAUUGUCUCUUAAAACUUUCUGAUUUGCUUUUGUAUGGAGUUUUAUAAAGGGUUAUAAAAGGCAUUUUAGUAUAAAGUUGGAAGCUUUUUAUUUUGAGGAUAGACUGUACUGUUACAUACGUUUUAUGCAGGGUUUCUCUUUUCCAAGAGAUGAAAUGUCUGUUCAUGAAAUAAUGUUUUGGUAAUUCUUUCCUUGACUCCAAAGUGGGGUGAUCAUCCGGCUGUCAUGGCUGAUGGGUUUGUUGAUGGAACCUCAUAAAUCAUUUUCCAAACACUUCUUUCUCUUGGUCCUCCAAAAUCAGAAUCUUUGCAGAUGGGAUUUCUGAUUUUACCAAGGCAGUGCGGUCGAACAUCUUGAUGGUCUCACAUAUAAUUUCAUAACAUUUAUACAGCGAUUGGUUAUCUUGGUCAGCUUCCUGCCAAGCUUUUGUGUCUUUGUUUGUCUUAGUAAUGACAUGAUGUAGGAACAGGGGAUGGAAAGAAAAGAUUUUCCGUUGAGGUGUUACUGGCAAAGGAAAUAUGAUAGAACAUACGUUAAUCUUUACCAUUCUCUAUUUCACAAGAAAUGUCCACCUCAUCAAAGAUACCCAUUUAAUUCUGGUGGGGUUCUGUAAAUGACAAAUAAAAAAAGUCAUGAGUCUCAUGGCAGAAAAUGGUAGUGGCAAAGAAUAAUAUAGCUGACAGUGGGUUGUGGCAAAGCCACGUUGCAGCUCCAGUUUUCAGGAAAUCACCAUCGUUGAUUCAAGUGGUGGUAUUGUAUCCAAAGUUUCUUAUAUCCUUUUGAUUGUUUGAACAAAGUCUUAGCUUUUUCGAGGAAACUUCUAAUCGUAAUUCCGCAUGAAGUGUAGUGAUCUACAGUAGUUAUGUACAUAGAUUUCCGAUACAACAAGCUGUCAUAAGUAGUAGCAGAAUCCUUAUGUUUUCCACCUCUUAAACUUUGGAUAUUUCAGAUGGAUAGCUUAUCUGAAUUGAGUCAUUCACAAUAAUUUAUAAUUUUAUUUCCGGAGA